UAGGGAAUCUUCCACAAUGGACGCAAGUCUGAUGGAGCAACGCCGCGUGAGUGAAGAAGGUCUUCGGAUCGUAAAGCUCUGUUGUUGGUGAAGAAGGAUAGAGGCAGUAACUGGUCUUUAUUUGACGGUAAUCAACCAGAAAGUCACGGCUAACUACGUGCCAGCAGCCGCGGUAAUACGUAGGUGGCAAGCGUUGUCCGGAUUUAUUGGGCGUAAAGCGAGCGCAGGCGGAAUGAUAAGUCUGAUGUGAAAGCCCACGGCUCAACCGUGGAACUGCAUCGGAAACUGUCAUUCUUGAGUGCAGAAGAGGAGAGUGGAACUCCAUGUGUAGCGGUGGAAUGCGUAGAUAUAUGGAAGAACACCAGUGGCGAAGGCGGCUCUCUGGUCUGCAACUGACGCUGAGGCUCGAAAGCAUGGGUAGCGAACAGGAUUAGAUACCCUGGUAGUCCAUGCCGUAAACGAUGAGCGCUAGGUGUUGGGGACUUUCCGGUCCUCAGUGCCGCAGCAAACGCAUUAAGCGCUCCGCCCCGGGGAGUACGACCGCAAGGUUGAAAC
rnacentral:rRNA from 1 species